GUGCCAGCAGCCGCGGUAAUACGUAGGGUGCGAGCGUUGUCCGGAAUUACUGGGCGUAAAGAGCUCGUAGGUGGUUUGUCGCGUCGUUUGUGGAAGUCCACGGCUUAACUGUGGGACUGCAGGCGAUACGGGCAUAACCUGAGUGCUGUAGGGGAGACUGGAAUUCCUGGUGUAGCGGUGAAAUGCGCAGAUAUCAGGAGGAACACCGAUGGCGAAGGCAGGUCUCUGGGCAGUAACUGACGCUGAGGAGCGAAAGCAUGGGGAGCGAACAGGAUUAGAUACCCUGGUAGUCC
rnacentral:rRNA from 1 species